rnacentral:rRNA from 1 species
GUUUGAUCCUGGCUCAGGAUGAACGCUAGCUACAGGCUUAACACAUGCAAGUCGAGGGGCAGCGGGAUUGAAGCUUGCUUCAAUUGCCGGCGACCGGCGCACGGGUGAGUAACGCGUAUCCAACCUUCCGUACACUCAGGGAUAGCCUUUCGAAAGAAAGAUUAAUACCUGAUGGUAUCUUAAGCACACAUGUAAUUAAGAUUAAAGAUUCAUCGGUGUACGAUGGGGAUGCGUUCCAUUAGAUAGUAGGCGGGGUAACGGCCCACCUAGUCGACGAUGGAUAGGGGUUCUGAGAGGAAGGUCCCCCACAUUGGAACUGAGACACGGUCCAAACUCCUACGGGAGGCAGCAGUGAGGAAUAUUGGUCAAUGGGCGCGAGCCUGAACCAGCCAAGUAGCGUGAAGGAUGAAGGUCCUACGGAUUGUAAACUUCUUUUAUAAGGGAAUAAAGUCACCCACGUGUGGGUGUUUGUAUGUACCUUAUGAAUAAGCAUCGGCUAACUCCGUGCCAGCAGCCGCGGUAAUACGGAGGAUGCGAGCGUUAUCCGGAUUUAUUGGGUUUAAAGGGAGCGUAGACGGGUCGUUAAAUCAGCUGUGAAAGUUUGGGGCUCAACCUUAAAAUUGCAGUUGAUACUG